UACGAAGGGGGCUAGCGUUGCUCGGAAUUACUGGGCGUAAAGCGCACGUAGGCGGCUUUCUAAGUCGGGGUGAAAUCCUGGAGCUCAACUCCAGACUGCCUUCGAUACUGGAAAGCUCGAGUCCGGGAGAGGUGAGUGGAACUGCGAGUGUAGAGGUGAAAUUCGUAGAUAUUCGCAAGAACACCAGUGGCGAAGGCGGCUCACUGGCCCGGUACUGACGCUGAGGUGCGAAAGCGUGGGGAGCAACAGGGAUUAAGAUACCCGGUACGUCC
rnacentral:rRNA from 1 species